AGGAAUGGAAAUUUAUUAUUUAGAGUAUAGUGAAUAGAGGGUGAGAGUAAGUAUUAGGUACGUGGGUAAAGGGGUAGUUGUGUUAAGUUUGGUUUGUAUUGAUAUUAAAUUUUUUGAAGGGUAGGGUAAGUGAUUUGGGAGAGUAGUAGAUUUAAAAUAUUUUGUAGAUGAGAUUAUAGGGGAAGUUAGAGGAUAUUAUUAAGGGUAUUAUUUAGAGAAAUAUG
rnacentral:misc_RNA from 1 species